rnacentral:lncRNA from 1 species
CACCUGCGGGCAGUUCGUGACCCUUAUCUGCAUCUGAGCAGAGUGAACUACAGCUUGUCGGCCAGCUGGAGAGGUGCCAUGGAGGGAGUUGGUGCCCAGGGACUGGUGGGAUCUUAUGGAGGGGCCUCAGGGAAAGAAGAGAGGAAAGGAAGGCCAAGAGAAAAGGGGCUUCGACAAGCGAGGACAGCAGUUACCAAGGAAACAGAGAAGAGCAGACAUCAGAAGCAUCUCCAAGUUGGCACUGUGGACCACGGUGGACGGUCAUCUGGGAUAAAGAUGAUGCGGUGCCUUCCCCCUGCAUCCCUGAGUCACAUCACAGGAGCUUUUAUCCUUCAUUCAUUUUAUAGUUCUUAUUUGCGCCUGUAUGUGUACACUGUGCACAUGCGAGCGUCUGUG